rnacentral:misc_RNA from 1 species
GGAAGGAUCAUUCACGUUUUCAAAGUUUUCAAAAUUGUGGAAAUUUUUGGGCCCCGUGUAUGUGGUGAUCAAUUUAAGCUUACGCCAAAUUUUUUUUUCGCGUCACGGAGUUCCAGCAACUAAUCGAGAUGAAAUUCAACACAAAUUAUUAAACUUUCAGCAAUGGACGUCUUGGCUCCCAGUUCGAUGAAGGACGCAGCAAAGUGCGAUAAGCUAUGCGAAUUGCAGACAUCUGUGAGCCAUCAGGUUUCUGAACGCAAAUGGUGGCUUGGGGACUUGUCCCUAGCCGCACUUGGAUCAGUGUCGCAAAAAACUCACAUUCCUAGGUGUCGUUUGUCCGCAAUUCGUCGCCUGCCUUAUUAACAUCUAACAUCAUUAAGUGUGCUUUUUUGAUCAUUUCUAGUUAGAUCGAUUUAUUAACUAACCGACCUGAUCUCCAGUGAGACAACCCGCUGAAUUUAAGCAUAUAAUUAAGCGGAGGAGAGGAAACUAAGCAGGAUUCCCCUAGUAAUGGCGAACGAAGAGGGAAGAGCUCAAAAUGUAAAUCGUGUGCUUUACGCACACGAGUUGUAGUUUCUAGAAGUAUGACCAGUGAACGUCGCACGGCAAAAGUCUCUUGGGAGAGAACACCGAAGAGGGUGAGAGUCCCGUAUUUGCUGUGCAGAACGCUUACAAACGGGGUACUUUCGUAGAGUCGCGUUUCUUGGGAGUGAAACGCAAAUUUGGUGGUAAACUUCAUCUAAGGCUAAAUACAUUUGGGAGACCGAUAGCGAACAAGUACCUUGAGGGAAAGAUGAAAAGAACUUUGAAAAGAGGGUUAAAAUUGCCCGAAAUUGCUGAAAAGGAAGCGGUGGUGAUCUGUGGAUUCUCAUGUCGGUAGCCAUUGGCGUGGAACUCAAAUCAUAGCAGUGUGGUUUUAUGUCUCCGUGUCGUUUGCUGUUAUGGCAUGAGGAGUUGGUAGUCGCAGCUUGCGUAUGCGCCAUACCGGCCGAAAUUAAGGACUUUUAGUCGCUCCAUUUCGGUUGGUUUACGUGCACUACAGGCUGUUUGUAUCGUUGAGUAAUUCGCUUCGGCAUUCCUUCGCGUUUGACUACCGAUAGAUUGCAACCGGCCCGUCUUGAAACACGGAUCAAGGAGUCUAACAGUUAUGCGAGUCCGCAGGAGGCAAACCUUGCGGCGUAAUUAAUGUGAUUUGCUUACUCCAUAAGCAACCGACCACAAUCUUUGAGAGAGGUUUGAGUAUGAGCAUAUCUGUUGGGACCCGAAAGAUGGUGAACUAUUCCUGAAUAGAGUGAAGCCAGGGGAAACCCUGGUGGAGGCUCGUAGCGAUACUGACGUGCAAAUCGUUCGUCAAAUUUGGGUAUAGGGGCGAAAGACUAAUCGAACCAUCUAGUAGCUGGUUCCCUC